CACACAAUCAUCAAGCACUCUCAUAAAUCCUUGCUGACUUAAGGACAGCGGAAGAUUGCCUUCUUUGGUAGUAUUAAUUAUAAGGAAGCAAGGUUGACUAUGGCCAACAGCCCCAAAGUCAUGAAGCUGGUGACCGAAAAUACAGAGGAUAGAGGAACAAGUUAGAUGACAUGGCAAGGAAGCAACCAGCCAAAGCAGAAUGUGGGUCAUUGCCCAGGAUAACUCAUUCAAUUCCUCAAAAAUAUCAACGCAUAAUAGAGAGAGAGAGACAGAGAGAGAAACAGAGAGCACAAGAGACAAAGAGAAGAUGAAAAAGGAGAAGGGGAGGGAGAUGAUUAAAGACUAAAAAAGAUCAAAGAGAUACAGCAACGCAAUAAAAGACAGGGUCUCCCUCUGUUGCCCAGGCUCGAAUGCCGUAGUGCAGUCAUAGCUCACUGCAAUCUCCAACUCCAAGACUCAAGCAAUCCUCUGGCCUCAGCCCCAUUUUCUUUUAUUAUAAAUGUAG